rnacentral:rRNA from 1 species
UACGGAGGGUGCAAGCGUUAUCCGGAUUCACUGGGUUUAAAGGGUGCGUAGGAGGGCAGGUAAGUCAGUGGUGAAAUCCCCGAGCUUAACUUGGGAACUGCCGUUGAUACUAUCUGUCUUGAAUGUUGUGGAGGUAAGCGGAAUAUGUCAUGUAGCGGUGAAAUGCUUAGAUAUGACAUAGAACACCAAUUGCGAAGGCAGCUUGCUGCACAAUUAUUGACUCUGAUGCACGAAAGCGUGGGGAUCAAACAGG